rnacentral:ncRNA from 1 species
CACCUGGUUGAUCCUGCCAGUAGUCAUAUGCUUGUCUCAAAGAUUAAGCCAUGCAUGUCUAAGUAUAAGCUUUAAACGGCGAAACUGCGAAUGGCUCAUUAAAACAGUUAUAGUUUAUUUGGUGAUCGAUUACUAUUUGGAUAACCGUAGUAAUUCUAGAGCUAAUACAUGCGUCAAGGCCCGACUUCGGAAGGGCUGCGUUUAUUAGAUACAGAACCAACCUAGGCUCCGCCUAGUCCUUGUUGGUGAUUCAUAAUAACCCGGCGAAUCGCACGGCUUGUCCGGCGAUGGACCAUUCAAGUUUCUGACCUAUCAGCUAUGGACGGUAGGGUAUUGGCCUACCGUGGCGUUGACGGGUAACGGGGAAUUAGGGUUCGAUUCCGGAGAGGGAGCCUGAGAAACGGCUACCACAUCUAAGGAAGGCAGCAGGCGCGCAAAUUACCCAAUCCUGAUACAGGGAGGUAGUGACAAGAAAUAACAAUACAGGGCAAUUCUGUCUUGUAAUUGGAAUGAGUAGAUUUUAAAUCUCUUUACGAGUAUCAAUUGGAGGGCAAGUCUGGUGCCAGCAGCCGCGGUAAUUCCAGCUCCAAUAGCGUAUAUUAAAGUUGUUGCGGUUAAAAAGCUCGUAGUUGGAUUUCUGCCUUGGGCGACCGAUCCACCUUUCCUACGGGAUUGGUUGGUAUCAGGUUUGACCUUGGCUUUUUCUUGGGAUUCGUGCUCACGUACUUAACUGUGCGUUGACCGUGUUCCAAGACUUUUACUUUGAGGAAAUUAGAGUGUUUCAAGCAAGCUUAUGCCAUGAAUACAUUAGCAUGGAAUAAUAGGAUAUGACUUCGGUCAUAUUUUGUUGGUUUCUAGGACUGAAGUAAUGAUUAAUAGGGACAGUCGGGGGCAUUCGUAUUUA